CACAAUAUGACUUGGAAAACGGGUUAUACACACUUUUCCACGGUCUUAUGCAAGUCGUGUACAGUUAUGCGUUUCUACAGUGGUCAGUGAAACCUGAGUAGGCUCACUAUAGUGGGAUUGAACUGAUGAUUCUAAAAAGAACCGUUUUUCAUCAGUCGCGAUGGUAGAUCGACUGUGCGUGCAAAACCGCGUGUAAGAGCCGCUGGUAUUGCACGCCAAGUGAAAGGUUUAUUAUAUUCGUCGACGGCCGCCUCAACACUCAAACGUAACUGGUAGACUUAUCGCCGUGUUCGUCGGUUGCCGCCUCGUUUCACGAGUGUCUUCGCGGCUAUGUCCGGAACGUAACUGGUAGAUUCGUCGGUUGCCGCCUCGUUUCACGAGUGUCUUCGCUGCUAUGUCCGGAACGUAACUGGUAGAUCGUCGGUUGCCGCCUCGUUUCACGAGUGUCUUCGCUGCUUAGUCCGGAACGUAACUGGUAGGUUCGUCGGUUGCCGCCUCGUUUCACGAGUGUCUUCGCUGCUUAGUCCGGAACGUAACUGGUAGAAAUCAGUAUUAUGUUCGUCGUUCGUCGUUGUGUUGACUUAUAUGUUGACGAUGGUGAUAAUGACUGAAUACUAAUUUGUCUUGAAAAGUGCCCGGUAUAUAUACUGUGAUCCGUACCGACUAGUAAACCACCAGUAUGCCGCCGUGCGUGUUUGUGCUUACUGUCGGUACGGAUUUCCUCAUUAUGGAGUCAAUUUUGAACUUAUAGAUCUGUAUGGGGUGUUGUUAUUUUCUUCACUGUGUCCCCUAUCCAUCGCCGUACUUGGUGAGACUCUGUGAUGAAUCUAAAGGGUUUAAAUUCACCGCUAAGUCUCUCAGAUGGUAUUGUUUUUAUGUAUGCUGUGUUGUGAUUGGUGGUCCUGAAAAGGACCUUUUUAUAUGGUGACGGCUACACCGUUACAACAG